rnacentral:rRNA from 1 species
GAGUUUGAUCCUGGCUCAGAUUGAACGCUGGCGGCAUGCCUAACACAUGCAAGUCGAACGGUAACGCGGAGAGCUUGCUCUCUGGCGACGAGUGGCGGACGGGUGAGUAAUACUUAGGAAUCUGCCCAUUAGUGGGGGACAACUCGGGGAAACCCGAGCUAAUACCGCAUACGCCCUACGGGGGAAAGCGGGGGAUCGAAAGACCUCGCGCUAAUGGAUGAGCCUAAGUCGGAUUAGCUUGUUGGUGGGGUAACGGCCUACCAAGGCGACGAUCCGUAGCUGGUCUGAGAGGACGAUCAGCCACACUGGGACUGAGACACGGCCCAGACUCCUACGGGAGGCAGCAGUGGGGAAUAUUGGACAAUGGGGGCAACCCUGAUCCAGCAAUGCCGCGUGUGUGAAGAAGGCCUGCGGGUUGUAAAGCACUUUCAGUAGAGAAGAAAAGCCUGGCGCUAAUACCGCCGGGUCUUGACGUAACCUACAGAAGAA